rnacentral:tRNA from 1 species
CAGGGAGACAAACAUAGAUCAUGAUGUCUAAUUAAAUUAUUUUUAGGCCAUGAUCCUGUCACCUUAGGUCGAUCGGUACCUCAGAAUUAAUAACCAAAGUAGAGCAUAUUUAAUUUGCUUUUAUAUUGGUAAUUGUUUUUAGUUCCUAAACUUGUCUAGGUCACACCCAACAAGGGUUACUCCUGGGCCAUUAGCUCAGGUGGUUAGAGCGCACCCCUGAUAAGGGUGAGGUCCCUGGUUCAAGUCCAGGAUGGCCCAUUCGGUGUUGGGGGUUUAGCUCAGUUGGUAGAGCGCCUGCUUUGCAAGCAGGAUGUCAGCGGUUCGAGUCCGCUAACCUCCACUGACUGAAAAUCCUUAGCAACCGAAAAAGUUGAGGACCUUUGUUUAAUGUGAUUUGGACUUUAUUUAAGCUGAAGGAACCUAGCUUCCUAUCAUUCCAAACCUAAAUUGUUUUCUUUUUAGAGAUGGUUGGCAGGACGCUGGGCUCACUGUUUUUCGAAAGGAUAGCAGCGUGUUCAGUAGAACCUUGAAAACUGCAUAGGUGAGUCUGGAAAGAAUAAAGCAUCUCAUGGAUGUACUUUGUCUUUUGAUUAAUUCAAUCUAUCUAUCAAUAAAGAUGGUUUGAAGCAUCGAAAAGAUUAGUACCUAAUUCUUGAGUUAAGAGCUGAGACUCUUUAAUGUUUUGCUGUAUAAAUACAGUAAUUGUUUUUUUGUUUUCAAUCUAGAUCUGUCGAUAAUUAUCUAUUUAAUUUAGAAGUUGUCGAUGAUGAUUGAGAUUGUUUAUUGGCAAUUUUAGCCCUUUAAAACAACAUUAUUGAGGUUAAUU